rnacentral:tRNA from 1 species
UGCAUCGGCCGGGAAUCGAACCCGGGCCGCCUGCGUGGCAGGCGAUCAUUCUACCACUGAACCACAAUGC